UACGGAGGGGGCAAGCGUUGUUCGGAAUUACUGGGCGUAAAGCGCGCGUAGGCGGCGAUGCAAGUCAGAGGUGAAAUGCCCGGGCUCAACCUGGGAGGUGCCUUUGAUACUGUGUUGCUUGGAUCCGAGGAGAGGUGAGCGGAAUUCCGAGUGUAGAGGUGAAAUUCGAUGAAGAUAUUCGGAAGAACACCAGUGGCGAAGGCGGCUACACUCGGUGCC
rnacentral:rRNA from 1 species